GACAGAGGUGCCAAGCGUUAGGCGGAAUCACUGGGCUUAAAGCGUGUGUAGGCGGUCUAUCAAGUACCUUGUGAAAUCCCACGGCUCAACCGUGGAACUGCUGGGUAUACUGGUUGUCUUGAGCCAGCUAGGGGCGAGCGGAACAGACGGUGGAGCGGUGAAAUGCGUAGAUAUCGUCUGGAACGCCGAAGGUGAAAACAGCUCGCUGGGGCUGCGCUGACGCUGAGACACGAAAGCCAGGGGAGCGAACGGG
rnacentral:rRNA from 1 species